GUUUGGAUUAUGGCUCAGAAUGAACGCUGGCGGCAGGCCUAACACAUGCAAGUCGAACGGAUCAUUCGGGAUUAGUGGCAGACGGCUGAGUAACGCGUGGGAAGCUACCUUGUGGUAGGGGACAACAGUAGGAAACGAUUGUUAGUACCCUAUGAGCCCUAUGGGGGAAAGAUUGAUCGCCUUGAGAUGUGCCCGCGUUAGAUUAGCUAGUUGGUAAGGUAAUGGCUUACCAAGGCGACUAUCUAUAGCUGGUCUGAGAGGAUGAUCAGCCACACUGGGAGUGAGACACGGCCCAGACUCCUACGGGAGGCAGCAGUGGGGAAUAUUGGACAAUGGGGGCAACCCUGAUCCAGCCAUGCCGCGUGUGUGAUGACGCCCUUAGGGUUGUAAAGCACUUUCAGCAGUGAAGAUAAUGACAUUAACUGCAGAAGAAGCCCCGGCUAAUUUCGUGCCAGCAGCCGCGGUAAUACGAAGGGGCCAAGCGUUGUUGGGAAUCACUGGGCGUAAAGAGUACGUGGGCGGAAUGAUAAGUUAGGGGUGAAAUCCCAAGGUUCACCCUGGGAACUCCCUUUGAUACUGUCAGUCUUGAGAUCGAGAGAGGUGAGUGGAACUCCGAGUGUAGAGGUGAAAUUGGUAGAUAUUGGGAAGAACUCCAGUGGGGAAGGGGGCUCACUGGCUCGAUACGGACGUUGAGGUAGGAAAGCGUGGGGAGCAACCAGGAUUAGAUACCCUGGUAGUCCACGCCGUAAACGAGGAUUGUUAGUUGUCAGGUAGCUUGCUAUUUGGUGACGCAGCUAACGCAAUAAGCAUCCGCCUGGG
rnacentral:rRNA from 1 species